rnacentral:lncRNA from 1 species
ACUCGGCAUGAUGUCGCAUUCUGGGCCUACGUAGUUUGUCAGAAACAAACAUCAGAGUCAACGUAGUCCGGGGAAAUGGGGGACAUGCUCACUAGGAUAUCGCAUCCUAUGCCUACGUAUCUCAUCUGGAAUGAGAAUCAGAGUUGUCGUAGUUCGGCUAACGCACGCUGAAACAAAACACCGAAAAGAGACGCUGAGACGUCAAAAGAAACACUCAAAAGGAAACAGAAUGUCAAUACAUGGACUUACAUC